rnacentral:lncRNA from 1 species
UCGAUCUGAACAGUCAAGGCGAUAAGCGAGUUGAGAUCUGUCAGUAGUUCCUGGGCUGCAAGCUCAUCCUUUACUUCCUCCGAUACUCAGUACAGGAACAUGUCGAACAGUGCUUCCGGAUUCCAGGUGCUCUCUGCUGCCAACGUGUGGAAAUCUACUGCAUAGUCUGCCACACUGCAGGAGUUUUGCAAGAAAGCUGGAGUAACUUCCGGGCAGCCUCUCUCCCGGACAAUGGAGCAUCAAAAAAACUCUUUACCUCCGCCACGAACUCCUCUAGACUGAAGAAUAUGGCCGACUGUUGUUCCCAUACUUCCGUAGCCCAGGCGAGAGCCCUCCCGGACAUCAGCGUGAUGAGGUAUGCUAUUUUAGAGUGGUCCGAGGGGAAGGAGGAGGGCUGCAGCUCGAUGAUGAGGGACCACUGAGCGAGAAACGCCCGACAGUUGCCCCACUCUCCAUCAAAGCAUUCCGGGGGAGGUAAGCGGUGUUCCCGGGAUACCGGGGUUGCCGAGAAGGCGGGCUGGUUGGUUACCAUCGUGGUAGGUUGCCUAACAGACAACCCGCGGAUUUGCUCCAGCAAUGUGUUCAACGCUCGGUCAUGGCAUUUGGCCAAGGUCUGGAACCCUUCCAUCAGACCACGAAGCAACUGAUGGCUCCUUGGGAGGAGAUCGCAUUGCGGAGCUUUUCCGCGUCUGCUGGGUCAGUCAUGGCCAGUUCGUACUAUCACGCUUCAGGGAAGACCCAGAUGCUGACAGUGUUGAAGUAACAAAAGUGUAUUAGUAGAACAGGGGGCAGGCAAAACUACAGGUCAAGGGCAGGCAGAGGUCAGUAAUCCAGAUCAGAGUCCAAAAGGUUCAGAACAGCAGGCAGUCUCAGGGUCAGGGCAGGCAGAAUGUUAAAUACCAGGAAAACUAGAAAACAGCAAGGGGGAAAAUGCUGGUAGGCUUGAAGAACAAAACAUACUGGCAACAGACAAACAGAGAACAUAGGUAUAAAUACAUUGGGGAUAAUGGGGAAGAUGGGUGACACCUGGAGGGGGGUAGAGACAAGCACAAAGACAGGUGAAACAGAUCAAGGUGUGACAGGAUGGAGAUAAAAGACAGUAAAAAGACAUGAUGAUGUCGAUCAAACAACGUUAUGUCCCAUAUUCUUUAGAAGUAGAUGGCAAGACCGCUCAGACCCCACUUGUGAAGUUGACAAAGCAAAAUGCAGAUAAAUUCCCUUUGUUGGAUUCAACAUUUUGAACAUUGAGAUCUGAAAUAAAUGAUAGGAAAGAAGAGUAGAAUCAAAGGAGAAAGAGACAGGGUUUUAUGUCAGAAGUUAACCUCUAUGGGCUAGGUGGGACGCUUGCAGCCACUGGCAGCCUUUCAAAACCUUAAAAAUCCUAUUACUUCAAUUUCUCAAACAUAUGACUAUUUUACAGCUAUUUAAAGACAAGACUCUCGUUAAUCUAACCACACUGUCCGAUUUCAAAAAGGCUUUACAACGAAAGCAAAACAUUAGAUUAUGUCAGCAGAGUACCAAGCCAGAAAUAAUCAGACACCCAUUUUUCAAGCCAGCAUAUAAUGUCACCAAAACCCAGAAGACAGCUAAAUGCAGCACUCACCUUUGAUGAUCUUCAUCAGAUGACAA